AUUAGCUACAGUCUGUUUAAAAUGUAGUUAAAAAUACCGUCGACUGAGCCUUUUGUGGCGCACUUUUAUUUUAGUUUUCGCCCUUAGUGUGUUGCUUUUAGUUGCAGAUGAAACAAUUUCACCUAGCUUUUUCAGUUAAAGUUAGGCGUCUGUGUUGAAGUCAUUCGACGCCUAGUGAGUUUUUCUAGGAUGUUGUGUACUAAGGUAACGGAGUUCUUUUUAUUUUUAUUAUUUUAAGCAAGAAUUAACCGAAAUAUAAAUUUUGGCAGUCUUCUAAACAUUGAAUAUCGCGUGACGAUUAAACUCUGUUAGCCAAUGAAAUGCUGCCCUCGUGUGUCGUAACAAGGGUAGCUGCGGUGCUACAUGUACAGAUUCGACGUCUUAUAUUACAAAAGAAAAAACAAUAGACGUGUCUCUUUUUUGUGAUUUGUGUAUCGUUAAUAUUUUAACCAAUUGUUACAAGUUUAAACUUUUUUUUAAUUAAACAAAUUGUAAUAGUGGUUUCUAAGCGGAACGCUUCCUCUUUGCCAGAUUCAUGUCAGGAGUAUAAUAAGCGAUGCACCACACAACAUUUAUUUAAACUUAAGGUUACUGCUAUUUCCAUGAUCAACGCAUUGUGUCUUUCAAUUUUUAUGUUAUUCACAACUUUAUAUUUCAGGGAAACAAUAAAAAUAACGGUUGUUACAGAUUUUUGAGUGAAAAUAAAUAAAUUCGUAUAGUGAUGUAUGCGAUUGCUUUCGCAAAGCAUUGUGGGACUGGAAACUGGAUUUUAAAACUUAAAUAAACAGCUUUAGCCACACUUUUAGAUCUACUUGCAUAAUCGUAGCUCUGUAAAAGUUAUAGUCUACUAACUCCUCGCGGACUGAUCGUUUAGAUCAUGUUUAACAGUUGACAUAAACCGUGAGUGAGAACGGCGUUCCCGAGAAUCACUUCUUGCUUCGACCCAGAAGUUCGUUAAGACUAUACUUUCAGGGAUCAUUUCUAUAGUUUCUAACUUGAGAAAUGUGUUUCUAAAGUGUUUGGUCUCGCUAACCACGAUGAUGAGUCGUGAUAUUCCCUUCUGAGCGUGAAGCGGAUAGAGAAUAAUGAUUCAGUUCAUACGUUCUCUGUCAUUGAUGACCGGUCUUUACUUCCUUGUGGAGUAAUGAGGAAGGGAAUAUGAUCAGAGUGGUUACGAAUAGUGUGCAAAAAUUAUACAUGUUAUGAAAGUACCUAAUUUUCAUAACGUUUAUCUACAACAGUGACAAAUGUUACAAUAGCUGCUUGAGUUUCAGUGAAACAGUUUACCUCAUCUCUAGAACAAGUCUCAAAUUAACCCUUUUGUCAAGUCAUGUGUACUUAAAUUGUGCAUAAAAAAAGUCCCUCGUGCUUGAGGGACAUUUACACAACCUAUCUUAUUUGUCAGUAAGAGACUGGCCUUUUGAAUCUUUUCUGCUUCAACAUAAUGUCGCCACUAUCACAAAGUCACUUUUGUAACCUUUAUUUACACGUCAGGUUCCCUAAUAACUUUUAUAAAAUUGAUCUGUUAGUCUGGCCGUUCUCUCUUGUACAUUUGCUGUCAGUAUUGUUAGAGGUAUCCAUUGAUUGGAUGUGCUACAUAGUAUUAUUUGCAUAAACACAGUUGAUUGGCCAAAACAUGGUAACAGGCGGAGCGUAUUGAAUGUCAAAGAGGAACCCUGAGUGCGGAAGACUUUACAGAAAAGCACAUGCAGUUUCCACAUGUAAAUACACUAAGACUAUACUUUCAGGGAUCAUUUCUAUAGUUUCUAACUUGAGGAAUGUGUUUCUAAAGUGUAUGGUCUCGCUAACCACGAUGAUGAGUCGUGAUAUUCCUUUCUGAGCGUGAAGCGGAUAGAGAAUAAUGAUUCAGUUCAUCUGUUCUCUGUCUUUGAUGACCGGUCUUUACUUCCUUGUGGAGUAAUGAGGAAGGGAAUAUGAUCAGAGUGACUAUACUUUCAGGGAUCAUUUCUAUAGUUUCUAACUUGAGAAAUGUGUUUCUAAAGUGUUUGGUCUCGCUAACCACGAUGAAGAGUCGUGAUAUUCCUUUCUGAGCGUGAAGCGGAUAGAGAAUAAUGGUUCAGUUCAUAUGUUCUCUGUCAUUGAUGACCGGUCUUUACUUCCUUGUGGAGUAAUGAGGAAGGGAAUAUGAUCAGAGUGG